rnacentral:rRNA from 1 species
UACGGAGGGGGCUAGCGUUGUUCGGAAUUACUGGGCGUAAAGCGCACGUAGGCGGCUUUGUAAGUUAGAGGUGAAAGCCCAGGGCUCAACCCUGGAAUUGCCUUUAAGACUGCAUCGCUUGAACAUCGGAGAGGUAAGUGGAAUUCCGAGUGUAGAGGUGAAAUUCGUAGAUAUUCGGAAGAACACCUGUGGCGAAAGCGGCUCACUGGACCAUAACUGACGCUGAUGCACGAAAGCUGGGGGAGCAAACAGG